rnacentral:rRNA from 1 species
AUACGGAGGGUGCAAGCGUUAAUCGGAAUUACUGGGCGUAAAGCGUACGUAGGCGGUUAUUUAAGUCAGAUGUGAAAGCCCCGGGCUUAACUUGGGAACUGCAUUUGAAACUGGGUAACUAGAGUUUAGUAGAGGGGAGUGGAAUUUCAGGUGUAGCGGUGACAUGCGUAGAGAUCUGAAGGAACACCAGUGGCGAAGGCGACUCCCUGGACUAAAACUGACGCUGAGGUACGAAAGCGUGGGUAGCAAACAGGAUUAGAAACCCCGGUAGUCC